UGCGUAGGUGGUGGGGUAAGUCUCGUGUGAAAGCUCGCAGCUUAACUGCGAAAAGUCACGGGAUACUAUCCGGCUAGAGGCUUGGAGGGGGGGACGUGGAAUACUUGGUGUAGCAGUGAAAUGCGUAGAUAUCAAGUGGAACACCAGUGGCGAAGGCGAGUCCCUGGACAAGACCUGACACUGAGGCACGAAAAGGACCACGGGGAAGGGCAAAACCA
rnacentral:rRNA from 1 species